rnacentral:rRNA from 1 species
UCUGUUUGAUCCCGGCGGAGGUUACUGCUAUCGAGGUUCGACUAAGCCAUGCGAGCCGAAUGUAGCAAUACAUGGCGUACUGCUCAGUAACACGUGGACAACCUACCCUGAGGUCGGGGAUAAACCCGGGAAACUGGGUAUAAUACCCGAUAGAUCUAGGUUGCUGGAAUGCUUUUAGGUCUAAAGUUCCGACGCCUCAGGAUGGGUCUGCGGCCUAUCAGGGUAGUAGUGGGUGUAAAGUACCUACUAGCCUACGACGGGUACGGGUUGUGAGAGCAAGAGCCCGGAGAUGGAUUCUGAGACACGAAUCCAGGCCCUACGGGGUGCAGCAGGCGCGAAACCUUUACAAUGCUGGCAACAGCGAUAAGGGGACCUCGAGUGCUACGAUACAAUCGUGGCUGUCUAGUUGCCUAAAAAGCAAUUGAUAGCAAGGGCCGGGCAAGACCGGUGCCAGCCGCCGCGGUAACACCGGCGGCUCGAGUGGUAACCGCUAUUAUUGGGUCUAAAGGGUCUGUAGCCGGCUUAGUUAGUCUCUUGAGGAAUCUGGCCGCUCAACGGUCAGGCGUUCAGGGGAUACUGCUAAAGCUCGAGACCGGGAGAGGUGAGAGGUACUUCAGGGGUAGGGGUGAAAUCUUGUAAUCCUUGAAGGACCACCAGUGGCGAAGGCGUCUCACCAGAACGGAUCUGACGGCAAGGGACGAAAGCUAGGGGCACGAACCGGAUUAGAUACCCGGGUAGUCCUGGCCGUAAACGAUACUCGCUAGGUGUCGGCCACGGUGCGACCGUGGUCGGUGCCGUAGGGAAGCCGUGAAGCGAGCCACCUGGGAAGUACGGCCGCAAGGCUGAAACUUAAAGGAAUUGGCGGGGGAGCACUACAACGGGUGGAGCUUGCGGUUUAAUUGGAUUCAACGCCGGAAAUCUUACCGGGGCCGACAGCGAUAUGAAGGCCAGGCUAGGGACCUUGCCUGAUUAGCUGAGAGGUGGUGCAUGGCCGUCGUCAGUUCGUACUGUGAAGCAUCCUGUUAAGUCAGGCAACGAGCGAGACCCA